rnacentral:rRNA from 1 species
AUGACGCAUGAUCUCCUAGCCACAAUCCAAGAUGGCAAUGGUGAUGGCGUACUGCAUGAGUACAACCUCUCCCGCCGCAUCCUCCUCUACUCGGAAUUUCGGACAACCACAACAAUCUCCUCAUUGCUAACUAUAGCAUUCCACCUCCUCCAGACUGUCGGCGCGGCGCAAGAGCGAUUGGUGUUUCUUGAUUUCAUUUUCAGAUUUUGCAGAGGGAAUAGCAUGUUGGAAGAUGCUGCUAAUAAGGGAUUGCCAAGGGAAAUAGGAUAUACGGCUUUACUUUGUCAAGUAUGCAAGCGAGUGAGAUACUGUUACACUAGCUUCCGCCGGGGAUUUGGAGCAUGCAUCCAGAUUCGAGGAAAUUUCAUAAUCAAACCUUUGGUUAUUGCCAUGCCGAAAUUAAACAAGUCACCCAGACCCUGGUGUUCUUUGGUGAAUAUCUCUAGCGCUGAGUUUGCCUCAUCCAUGGCGACCAUACUAGAAGCUCUGCUUCGAUCAUAUGCCAGUAAGUUGCAAGAUAUCGUUACCAAUGAAGCCAUACUAAUCUUAGGGGUGGAAGAAGAGCUCGCAAAACUGCUGCAACGAGUUGAACUAAUUCAGUGUUGUAUAUAUGAUGCUGAGAAAAGGAGGGCAAAAGAGUUAGCAGUAAACAAUUGGCUUGGCCAACUGAGAGAUGUUAUAUAUGAUGUUGAUGAAAUUCUGGACGUGGCUAGAUGCAAAGGAAGCAAGCUACUGCCUAACCACCCUUCAUCAUCAUCAAGCAAAUCGGUUGCAUGUAAAGGUUCCAACCUUGUUGAGCCCAACCUUGUGGGAAAGGAAAUCAUACAUUCUAGCAGGAAGUUGGUGGACUUGGUGCUUGCAAACAAGGAAAAGAAGUCUUACAAGCUCGCUGUUGUUGGAACCGGAGGAGUCGAUUCUACCAUUCUUCGCCGUGUAAUUACCAGGUUAUGGAUUGCUGAAGGCUUCAUUGAGGAGCAACAAGGCCAACUUCUAGAAGAGACAGCAGAGGAGUACUACUAUGAGCUAAUCCAUCGGAAUCUCCUCCAAGCAGAUAACGGAUCUUUUAACCAGGCUGAAUGCAAAAUGCAUGACCUCUUAAGACAGCUCGCUUUGACUAUAUCAAAAGAAGAGUGUUUCAUUGAUAAUAUUGAGACAUUAAGUAGUGAUAAUAUGUCAAAACUACGACGAGUUACUGCCGUGAGUAAGAAGGAUAAAUUAGUGUUGCCUAGCAUGAAUAAGGUGGAGGCUAAGGUGAGGACUUUCUUUACCGUUCAUGGUCCACAGAGCAUUGAGGAUUCAUUGUUCAAGAGAUUUGCUUCUUUGUGUUCACUUGUACAAAGCAUUCCAGAUUAUAUAGGAAGACUGAUACAUCUAUGCCUACUUGAUCUUGAUUAUACUGGCAUAUCUUGUCUUCCAGAAUCCAUUGGCUCCCUACAAAACCUUCAAAUUUUGAGCUUGAAUUAUUGUGAUGCUUUGCACAAUCUUCCUUCGGCGAUAUCCCAAUUGUACAGUUUAAGAUGUCUUAGCCUUCUUGAUACAAAAAUAAAUCGAGUUCAGAAAGGGAUAGGAAAACUGAAGUUCCUCACUGGUUUACAAGGGUUUUCGGUUGGCCGCAAAGUCCGGAUGCCCGUAAAGUCCCCCACUUUGUUUCCGGUUUGCGGGAAAAAUAAUACUAUUAUUAUCACGCUGGGCGGCCGCGCGCGGCCGGCCGCGGGCAGCAUGUGCUGGGUUUGUGGUUCGUGGAUGGCAGGUAUGGUUUCCUUCUGCGGCGUCUUAGUCGCGGUGGGGUGCCAGAUCUGGAGUUCGAUGGCGUGUCUGGGGUGUUGCUCCGGCCUGAUUCGUUCAACGGUAAGGGCUUCACUUUUGGUGAGCCACCUUGGAGGUCCGCAAAGCUGCAUAUCAGCGAUGGAGCCGCAUCGAGCUCGGGGGAGGAGGUGA